rnacentral:rRNA from 1 species
AGAGUUUGAUCAUGGCUCAGGACGAACGCUGGCGGCGUGCCUAAUACAUGCAAGUCGAACGAAGCUUUCUUUCACCGAAUGCUUACAUUCACCGAAAGAAGCUUAGUGGCGAACGGGUGAGUAACACGUAGGCAACCUGCCCAAAAGAGGGGGAUAACACUUGGAAACAGGUGCUAAUACCGCAUAACCAUGAACACCGCAUGAUGUUCAUGUAAAAGACGGCUUUUGCUGUCACUUUUGGAUGGGCCUGCGGCGUAUUAACUUGUUGGUGGGGUAACGGCCUACCAAGGUGAUGAUACGUAGCCGAACUGAGAGGUUGAUCGGCCACAUUGGGACUGAGACACGGCCCAAACUCCUACGGGAGGCAGCAGUAGGGAAUCUUCCACAAUGGACGAAAGUCUGAUGGAGCAACGCCGCGUGAAUGAAGAAGGCCUUCGGGUCGUAAAAUUCUGUUGUCAGAGAAGAACGUGCGUGAGAGUAACUGUUCACGUAUUGACGGUAUCUGACCAGAAAGCCACGGCUAACUACGUGCCAGCAGCCGCGGUAAUACGUAGGUGGCGAGCGUUGUCCGGAUUUAUUGGGCGUAAAGGGAACGCAGGCGGUCUUUUAAGUCUGAUGUGAAAGCCUUCGGCUUAACCGAAGUAGUGCAUUGGAAACUGGAAGACUUGAGUGCAGAAGAGGAGAGUGGAACUCCAUGUGUAGCGGUGAAAUGCGUAGAUAUAUGGAAGAACACCAGUGGCGAAAGCGGCUCUCUGGUCUGUAACUGACGCUGAGGUUCGAAAGCGUGGGUAGCAAACAGGAUUAGAUACCCUGGUAGUCCACGCCGUAAACGAUGAGUGCUAAGUGUUGGAGGGUUUCCGCCCUUCAGUGCUGCAGCUAACGCAUUAAGCACUCCGCCUGGGGAGUACGGUCGCAAGACUGAAACUCAAAGGAAUUGACGGGGGCCCGCACAAGCGGUGGAGCAUGUGGUUUAAUUCGAAGCAACGCGAAGAACCUUACCAGGUCUUGACAUCUUCUGACAAUUCCAGAGAUGGAACGUUCCCUUCGGGGACAGAAUGACAGGUGGUGCAUGGUUGUCGUCAGCUCGUGUCGUGAGAUGUUGGGUUAAGUCCCGCAACGAGCGCAACCCUUAUUGUCAGUUGCCAUCAUUAAGUUGGGCACUCUGGCGGGACUGCCGGUGACAAACCGGAGGAAGGUGGGGAUGACGUCAAAUCAUCAUGCCCCUUAUGACCUGGGCUACACACGUGCUACAAUGGACGGUACAACGAGUCGCUAACUCGCGAGGGCAAGCUAAUCUCUUAAAGCCGUUCUCAGUUCGGAUUGCAGGCUGCAACUCGCCUGCAUGAAGUCGGAAUCGCUAGUAAUCGCGAAUCAGCAUGUCGCGGUGAAUACGUUCCCGGGCCUUGUACACACCGCCCGUCACACCUUGAGAGUUUGUAACACCCAAAGUCGGUGGGGUAACCUUUUGGAGCCAGCCGCCUAAGGUGGGACAGAUGAUUGGGGUGAAGUCGUAACAAGGUA